UACGUAGGCAGCAAGCGUUGUUCGGAGUUACUGGGCGUAAAGGGUGCGUAGGCGGUUGUUUAAGUUUGGUGUGAAAUCUCCCGGCUCAACUGGGAGGGUGCGCCGAAUACUGAAUGACUAGAGUGCGGGAGAGGAGAGUGGAAUUCCUGGUGUAGCGGUGAAAUGCGUAGAUAUCAGGAGGAACACCGGUGGUGUAGACGGCUCUCUGGACCGUAACUGACGCUGAGGCACGAAAAGCGUGGGUAGCAAACAGG
rnacentral:rRNA from 1 species